AACAGGAUUAGAUACCCUGGUAGUCCACGCCGUAAACGAUGAUAACUAGCUGUCCGGGCACUUGGUGCUUGGGUGGCGCAGCUAACGCAUUAAGUUAUCCGCCUGGGGAGUACGGCCGCAAGGUUAAAACUCAAAGGAAUUGACGGGGGCCUGCACAAGCGGUGGAGCAUGUGGUUUAAUUCGAAGCAACGCGCAGAACCUUACCAGCGUUUGACAUGUCCGGACGACUUCCAGAGAUGGAUUUCUUCCCUUCGGGGACUGGAACACAGGUGCUGCAUGGCUGUCGUCAGCUCGCGUCGUGAGAUGUUGGGUUAAGUCCCGCAACGAGCGCAACCCUCGCCUUUAGUUGCCAUCAUUUGGUUGGGUACUCUAAAGGAACCGCCGGUGAUAAGCCGGAGGAAGGUGGGGAUGACGUCAAGUCCUCAUGGCCCUUACGCGCUGGGCUACACACGUGCUACAAUGGCAACUACAGUGGGCAGCGACCCUGCGAGGGCGAGCUAAUCCCCAAAAGUUGUCUCAGUUCGGAUUGUUCUCUGCAACUCGAGAGCAUGAAGGCGGAAUCGCUAGUAAUCGCGGAUCAGCAUGCCGCGGUGAAUACGUUCCCAGGCCUUGUACACACCGCCCGUCACACCAUGGGAGUUGGAUUCACCCGAAGGCGUUGCGCCAACCCGCAAGGGAAGCAGGCGACCACGGUGGGUUCAGCGACUGGGGUGAAGUCGUAACAAGGUA
rnacentral:rRNA from 1 species